AAAGGGAGGGGAAACAUUCACACGCAGAAUGACUGGAGGGCUGCAGGUGUUAGAAGGCCUCCGUGGGCUGGGAGCCUCCAUUACCUCCGGCCAGCGUUCCCUUAAAGCACACCCCAAGACUCAUCCUAAGAGCAGUGAUGGUGUGCAGAGGGUCCACCGCAGGAAGGUCAGGAGUUUCCCCAAAUACACGAUUAAGCUACUCCUGGUUAGCCUCAGUGUUGAUCCUCUCAUCAUGUCAGGUUUUAGGCUCUUAGGGUUACUAAAAAAGAAUGAAUCAAAUGGACUCAUUUUUCGGUAAUCCUUUUCCUUUUCUCCUUGUCUUCCUUGAAGAGGGUAGAUCAUUGCUGGACUCAUCAAAAGCACAGGAGGGUUUAACCCUUAGAAGAAGGCACAGGCAUAAAUCUUCAUGACCUCGAUGAGGCAAUCACUCUUAGAGAAGACUCCAAGAUCACAACCAGCAAAAGAAAAAAACCAGGAUGCUCGAGGGAUUGGGGUGUGCAGUGUCUUGGGCCACGCAAUACUACCUGCUACAGUACUGACUCCAGAGACCCUGUUUUUCUACACCCUGCUCUUCGGGGCUCCACCGGAGUUGUCUGUUUCCAGUAAAGCAAGGAGAGAUGCUGAGCAGUCAUGCUUACCCGAACCCUCCAGCCAACAUGUUGCACCACCGUCUCCCAAGUCGGAAAGGCCUGCCCUCCGGAGCCUGGCUCCCAUCUCCUCCCCUUCCUGGGGACUGGCGCUCUGCAGGGACAAGGGCUCCCCCACACCUAAGCCACUUCCCCUGUGCAGGAGAUGCAGUCAGACUGAAGGCGCCAGCUGGGCUGUUCUUAUGUGAGUGGGGGGAGGGUUGGGAGUGUUUGGGGGGCCUCGGUGACACGAGGUGACGGGAGGUGGGAAGGACAGUGGCAGCUGCAGAGCUCGGGGUUGGCAAUGGACUCGUUCUGAGAGGGAGUGGAUGGUGGGUGAUGGACUUACAUCCGGACGUGGGGAGCUGGAGACUCUGCCAGGACCCGAGGGAAGCAGGUCCCUUGGCCAGCAGAGCAAAGAGAUGCAGGGAGUCUGAGGCCUCCGAUCGGGCGGCAGCCAUGUGACACAGAGCAUGGCCCAGGCCGUCCCGGGAAGGGCGCCCCAGAGCAGCAGAGCUGGAGAGGACCCAUGCUGAGCAGUCAGAGAGGGGACCUGCAGCAGGGGCCAAGCAGAGUCCCCAUGGGGCUUCCGUUCUCCUCAUCUUUGUCUCAGUUGGAUCUAAAGCAGGCAGCAAUAUUACAGUGAGCUCAGCUUCCAAAGUCACCGUGCGGCUUGUGCUGAGCACUUGGAAGGUGGCUGCACACGUGUAAAGGGGGCACUGUGGGAAGAUCGCCCUGAGCUCAGAGGCUGAGAAGGGAUCUGGGCUCUGCUUACUCUGGAAACUGCCCAUGCUGCGGAUGUCCACCUUGUGCAGCCCCAAGAAGCCCCAGAGCACCAGGACACCCAAGUAUGGGGAGACACUGUCUGCACUGGCCUGGGACCCGGCCCUGAUCUGCACCUCAGCUGCACACUCCUUAGAGCAGAGCUUUCUCCUGGAGCCUCAAAUGAUGAGGGUGUAGGAAAGACGGAUGCACAGAACAAGGUCUGCGAUGGGAACUCACGGGGUGUCACACACCCCAGGGACCGGGGCUGCUGACGUCCACACGCAGACAGAAAAGUGACGGUGUGGAAAUCAUUGCCACGGUCUUAGGGACCCCCUCCUGCUGCUGAGGCCUGCCGAGGAGGAAGGGAUGAUUCUGACGGUCCUUCGUCCCUCUCCUUCACUGACUGAGUCCAGUUCUCAAUUUGAGGAGAGCCGCUUGUCCUUGGCCGUCUGCAGGAGCUGUACCCUCAGGUAAAAGGUAACGGCCCUACCCUACUGUAUGUGUUUGCAUCCAAACCAUUCAUAUAGUUGCUCUGUUGUGAUGAAACUUCCGCCAGAAAAUAGCCUUGCCUAGGGCCUUGUGAUUCAUGGAGCCUCAAAUCUGAAAACCACAGAAACCUUUUCCUUUCCUACUUUCUCUUCUUCCUUCAUUGAAAUUUGCCAAGAACUGAUAAAGGCAGUGAUGAGCUUCCAGCAGUUGCUUUAAAAUAAAACAGAAUAAAGAAUAAGAACAUUCUUUGAUGAAAGAAAAAGACACACACAC
rnacentral:lncRNA from 1 species